CCAGUUAGUUCCGAUGAACGAAUGGGCCCAAUAGGAGACGAGCACAAUACAGUAUACUUUUCGCUCCUUUUUCGUAUGAGAUUGAUCGUAUAUUCGUAUUGGCUAUGUUUGCUGGGGCUGAUGGGACUUGUAGUUCAGUAACAAUCUGGAGGGCCGAAGGUGUCCCACGCUUUCCCGAGGGGCUGAGAAAUACCCCCAGCUCUGAAAGUCAUUUGCCAGUGCUGCCUUGGCAAGGAUUACAGCAGCCAAUUCAACAUCCGGGCUUUUUUCCACACACAGUGCCAAGUUUUUUCUUCCAGGACAUGGAGCAAGUUGACAAUUUUUUCAGGUGUAGCAACAUCAUUAGGAUUCUCACAGGAUGAUCGGAGAGCUAGGACAUAAAGCGCCACUUUGCCCGAGGUCAUCUCUGCAGGAAGAGAUGAGAAAAGACAAGCAUCACCAAAACCCCAAGCACACACGUUUGUGAACACCAGAGCUUUGUGGACCAAUCAGACUACUUGGGGAAUUUGUCUGUAGCUGGGUUGGUGCUGCCAAUGUGGCAGAGUUUUCUUAUAGAUAAAACCUUCUUCAUCAGAUGUAUGACAUAUUAUCCGCAGUGAACAGUUCUAUCCUAGUCCUUAAAAGCUUGUGCUACAAUAGAUCUGUCAGCCUUUAAGGUGCCACAAGACUCUUCUCCAUUUUUGCAGCAAUAGAUUUGACAAGGCUAUUCUUCUGGAAAUCGUCGAGAGUAUCUUCUGCAGGAUGCACUUGCAUUUUCUAGGAAUGAUAUCUGCUUCUUUAUUUGAAGGAAGAGAUAUAAACUAUUGUAUAUUUUCUUGACAAGGUUCUUGUACAUUUUAACAGCUGUGCUACAAGCAGAAAAUAAACAGAGAAAGCUGUACCUGGGUAGAAAUGUAGGAAUAGUGAAAGCUUCAUUGGUUGACUUUCUCCCUGUCUUACUGCCAGGAGGAAAAAUGAUUGCAUCAACCCCAGAAGAAAAACUGGGCUCACUUCCAUUUGGCCUGAUCCAGCAGGGCUCAUCUUAUGUUCUUAAUAUGCAUUUGUACUAUGUAUGCAGAAAGACACCUCUCUCAUUUGAGGCAUCCUACCUUUUAUGGCUGUUUUCUUGAUCUCCUCAACCAGCUGUUUUCUUACAUUGAGGUCUUGGUCCUCAGCCAGGUUCAGAGCAAUCAGGACACUGGGAUCAGGUGAGCUGUGCUGAUUGACAGAGUCCACUAGCAGAGUCUGGAGUCCUGUAACCAACCACUGCUGACUAUCAGGGACAGCUGGAACCAAGAAAAGCAGGUGUUUAGCAAGAAACAGCAGCUGCUGCUGGAGCACUUGCCUAACCUGUCAAUAGGACUGCAAUUCAACUUAAACUUGUCUCUGUUGCAUGAUGCCCCACUUAGAUUUGGUAUGAUUUUGGACAGCAUGCCAGAUUGUUUCAGCUUUUAAUUUUUUAUUCAGAAGAAUCUUAUAACUCAAAAUGCACUGGGCCUUAAUAAGCAGGUACGAGUCACCUUUGAGGUCUCUGUCCUACAUUCCCAUGCUCGUGCCUUCCUUCUUGUAGCCUUAAAUAAGCUAUAAUUCUCUCAAUCUCAACUGCCCAUCUGCAACAUAGGGAUAAUAUUAUUUGCUUUCCUAACAGAGUAGUUUCCUGACCUUAAGGAAAGUGGGUUGGAUUCUGUCUAAGACUGCAAUCCUAUACAUGCUUAGGUGGCUUGCUCCUGAGGAGACUAGGAUUACACUGUAAGUGAGGAGAACUUGGGUCCCAUUGAAACCAGUGGGACAAGGUACUCACAACUGAACCUAAGCUCCAUUGAUCUCAAUAGGAACUAAGUUCAACUUACUUUGUUGGGACCAACGCAGUGUAUGUAAAGCACUUUGCCUACAGAAACAGAGUCAGUUCCAGUUUCAGGGGACCCACAGGCAUCUUCUAUGGCAGGGAUGAGGACCUGUGGCCCUCCAGAUGUUGCUGGACUACAGCUCCCAUCAUCCCUGGCCAUUGGGGCUGAUGGGAGGCGGAUCCCAAAAACAUAUUGAGGGCCAUAGGUUUCCCCAUCCCUGCUUUCUGGGCCCCCUUUCAGGUGAGCUGCCCUCCUUGCUGCCUCUGCCCCAGGCAACAGCAGUGCCCCCUCACCCAGGCCAGCUACUCACUCUCCCACCUACACAGCUGUCGGGCAGCAAGCAAGUAAGCAAGCAGUGGCGGUGAGAAUCAGCAGCAGUCACUAAUGCUUCUUGCUCAUUCUAAGGGGAUUAGGGUCCUGUGGAAAAGAGCAAGCAGUCGUGCACGUGGCUGUGGUAGCAGUGGCUCCUCUUCAUUGCUGCUGCUUGCUCACCUACAGGAGGGUGAGCGGGUGAUAUCAAGGAUGGGCACAGUUCUCACAGUUGCCCACAGGGAGAGGGUUAACCAGUGAUCAGAUGUAGUGCAGGCAAUGAGGCAGCUUGGGAACACAAGUAGGGUUAGUGUUGUGUUGCACUCAUAUCCUGCUUGUAGGCUUUCCAUAGGCUUCUGGUUGGCCACUGAGAAGAUGCAGAUGGGAUGGUAUUUGGCCUGAUCUAGCACAGCUCUUAUGUUAGAUAAUAUGUUAAAAGAAUAUGCCAGGAAGGCUAAACUAGACUCUACUUCAUAACAUGUUCUUUAUAAGAAUACUGAAUGAGAGUACUAAGUUUAUUAAAAACUAAAAUGGAGCAAUGACAUGUGAGUGCAGAUGUGGUCAGCCACAGUCUACAAUCCCAGUCCAGAAACAGAUGGACCACUUCAUCUGUUCUUUGUGUGAACUAGCUGUACCAGACUUCAGCUGGCCCAGUAAGAGUUGGGAACACCUUUUAAAUCCUACCCAGAUUGACUGGGGCUUUGGCAACUAAGGGUGAUUUCCAGAUAGGUGUUUAUAGUGAGAUCAGUGCUCCACAUAUACACAAGGCUUUUGCUUUUGCAGCAUCCACACAAUAUCACUCAUUAAAAUGCCAGCCACUCUCUGCCCCCCCCCAUUUAAUCCAAAUUUACACUUUCUGAGGAGAAUCCAAUAAUUAAAAAAAAAACUGUGCCAACAACGUUUGUAAUAUUUCAAUGACCCAUUUACAGUAUUAAGCCUCCAUAUGGAAGCACUCUAAGCCUGCUACAUCUAGGUAACUUAGAGGGAAGAGUUUUGAUACUCACAGCAAGUCCCAGGAGAGAUGGAAUCGGCAUUGGUUACUAUGCAGAACAUAAACAGAAGGGCAACAGCUGAGAGGAACAUUCUGGAUUGGAGGAUUUGUGUCUUUGAUGCUUCAGAGAAUAUGAGAACUGCUGGGACUUCCUUUAUAUAAAUGGCUAGUACAGCUCUGGUUCCCUCCCUCCCAACCUUUCACUUUUCAAUUGCCACCUCAUCUCUGGCACUGUUGACUUUAAUUUGCUUAUCUUGGUUUCUAAAACACUAACCCUUGAAGGUUUUUGCAAGGUGAUACCAGAGAAUGGUGACUGUCAAUGAAUGUAAUCAUCAGGUGUGUAGACAUUAGUGAAAGCAGCAAGGGAGGGGAGGGACACUACUCUGUGAUUCACAAAGUGUUGUACACAGUUCUUGAGAGAAUAGCCACUUGUUAUUAAGGUAUUAUUCACUAAUAGGCAAAAAACCUUGCCAUUUAAGAAUGUACCUAUAGCCAACAGAUAUUUCUGUUGCUGCCCAAUUUCCCUGCUUUUUAAAGUUUGAUAGAAAUAUCUGUUGGCUAUAGGUACAUUCUAAAACCACAAGGUUUUUUGCCUAUUAGUGAAUUUACUACGUAAUGUGCAACACACGUUGCAUAGACCAGGAAGAGCUGGCAGCAUUUAGUGGUGGAUGUGACAUCUGGGAGGUAGGUGGAAUUAAGCCCAGUUGUAUCCUUCCCACCAGCCUCUCUCACCCAGCUGUGUACAUGUUAGGAAGGAAAAAUGGCAUUGCAAGGUUUUCUCCCACACUAAAUUCCAUGAUUUAUUAUGUAUUAUUACUUUGUAACAAAUUUAUAAACAGCUUCAUUGCAUGAAGACAUCAAAGGCAAAACCAGAAUAAAAUGCAAGUUCUAAAAACAAUAAGAUCAUUUCAGAAACUCUAAACACAAGAAAAUAUAUUUACAAAU